rnacentral:rRNA from 1 species
UGAACGCUAGCGGCAGGCUUAACACAUGCAAGUCGAGGGGCAGCGUGAGGGUUAGCAAUAACCCUUGACGGCGACCGGCGCAAGGGUGCGUAACGCGUGAGCAACUUGCCCUUAUCAGGGGGGAUAACCGGUGGAAACGCCGACUAAUACCCCAUGGCAUUGGUUGGAGGCAUCUCCUUCCAAUUAAAGAAAUUCGGAUAAGGAUAGGCUCGCGUGACAUUAGCUAGACGGCGGGGUAACGGCCCACCAAGGCGACGAUCAUUAGGGGUUCUGAGAGGAAGGUCCCCCACAUUGGAACUGAGACACGGUCCAAACUCCUACGGGAGGCAGCAGUGAGGAAUAUUGGUCAAUGGACGCAAGUCUGAACCAGCCAUGUCGCGUGAAGGAUGACUGUCCUAUGGAUUGUAAACUUCUUUUAUAUGGGGAUAAAGUGUGAGACUUGUCUCAUUUUGCAUGUACCAUAUGAAUAAGCAUCGGCUAACUCCGUG